GGUAGUAGUUUAUUUUAAUUUUGAAACCUAAAGAAUUUGGCGGUGUUUUAUUCUGGUUAGAGGAAUAUGUUUUCUUAUAGAUUGAUAAUACACAAUUAUCUUACUUAAAUUAUUUAGUUUUGUAUAUCUCCGUCUGAUAAGAAUGUUUUAAGGAAAAAUUUUUCUUAAUAUAAUUAAAAUAAAAUGUCAGGUCAAGUCGAUGCAGAUUAUGUUUAAGUAAAAAUGUAUUACAAUAAAUUUAUUUUUGGAUUUAUAUUGGUNAUUAUAUUUUAUAUUAUUUUGAUUUGUAAGUAAAAUUUAAUAUAUGAUUGUUGUUUGAAA
rnacentral:rRNA from 1 species